AAAAGGGAUGGGCAGCAGCAAUCACCAAGGGAGAGGACACCAAUGGGGCCCUCCUUUCGUGGCAGCAGCGGCUCACAGCCGCCUUGUGGGAGAAGCUGCGGGCAUCGAUACGCUGCAGGUUGCCUGUCUACGCCCCUGAGCUCACUGCAGAGCCACGGCAGACACUUAAAUUAAUCAUAUGUAACAGACAACACUGAGCUGAAUACCUCUGUGCUGGUGAGAAGAGCGGUUCAGGUGUCCACUGCCAAUGGAAGCAAAAAAUAGAAAGGUGGUAAGCUGUUCAUGAAGGGAAAAAAAUA